AUCAUUUUAUAGUUCAUAAGUGUGAUGACUGGGUUUUUAUGCUCUUGUGUGUGAUGCGCCUCCCUCAAACCUUGUCAUGAUGUUGGCACAUUACCCAUGUGAUG
ensembl:snoRNA